rnacentral:rRNA from 1 species
CAGUCGCCGCGGUAAUACGUAGGGUGCGAGCGUUAAUCGGAAUUACUGGGCGUAAAGCGUGCGCAGGCGGUUUUGCAAGACAGGCGUGAAAUCCCCGGGCUCAACCUGGGAAUGGCGCUUGUGACUGCAAAGCUAGAGUGCGGCAGAGGGGGAUGGAAUUCCGCGUGUAGCAGUGAAAUGCGUUGAGAUCGGAAAGAACACCAACGGCGAAAGCACUCUGCUGGGCCGGCACUGACACUGAGAGACGAAAGCUAGGGGAGCAAAUGGGAUUAGAUACCCCGGUAGUCCCUGUCUCUUAUAC